CCUGGUUGAUCCUGCCAGAAGUCAUAUGCUUGUCUCAAAGAUUAAGCCAUGCAUGUCUAAGUAUAAACACUUUAUACUGUGAAACUGCGAAUGGCUCAUUAAAUCAGUUAGAGUUUAUUUGAUAUUGUCUUACUACUUGGAUAACCGUGGUAAUUCUAGAGCUAAUACAUGCCAAAACAUCCGACUUUUUGGAAGGAUGGUAUAUAUUAGAUCCAAAAUCAAUCAAGGGGCAACUCUUGUUUUGUGAUGAUUCAUAAUAUAUUAACGAAUCGCAUGACCUUGAGUCGGCGAUAAAUCAUUCAAAUUUCUGCCCUAUCAACUUUUGAUGGUAGUAUAUAGGACUACCAUGGUGAUAACGGGUAACGGAGGAUUAGGGUUUGAUUCCGGAGAGGGAGCCUGAGAAACGGCUACCACAUCCAAGGUAGGCAGCAGGCGCGCAAAUUACCCAAUCUCGACACGAGGAGGUAGUGACAAUAAAUAACAAUGCAGGGCUUUUUAAGUCUUGCAAUUGGAAUGAGUACAAUUUAAAAUCAUUAACGAGGAACAAUUGGAGGGCAAGUCUGGUGCCAGCAGCCGCGGUAAUUCCAGCUCCAAUAGCGUAUAUUUAUGUUGUUGCAGUUAAAAAGCUCGUAGUUGGAUUUCGGAACGGAACAACUGGUCUGCCUUUUGGUGUGUACAGUUUGUCUGUUCUUUUGUUUGAGGAAAUUUCUUGUUUUUCAUUAGAUAGGGAAUGAACUCAGACCGUUUACUUUGAAAAAAUUAGAGUGUUUAAAGCAGGCUAUUGCCUUGAAUACAUUAGCAUGGAAUAAUAAAAUAGGACUUUAGUUCUAUUUUGUUGGUUUCUAGGACUAAAGUAAUGAUUAAUAGGGGCAGUUGGGGGCAUUAAUAUUUAAUUGUCAGAGGUGAAAUUCUUGGAUUUAUGAAAGAUUAACUUCUGCGAAAGCAUUUGCCAAGGAUGUUUUCAUUAAUCAAGAACGAAAGUUUGGGGAUCGAAGAGGAUUAGAUACCCUCGUAGUCCAGACCAUAAAAAUGCCGACUAGGGAUUGGUGAAUGUUCAUUUAUGACUUCAUCAGCAUCUUCCGAGAAAUCAAAGUUUUUGGGUUCUGGGGGGAGUAUGGUCGCAAGGCUGAAACUUAAAGGAAUUGACGGAAGGGCACCACCAGGAGUGGAGCCUGCGGCUUAAUUUGACCCAACACGGGAAAACUUACCAGGUCCAGACAUAGUAAGGAUUGACAGAUUGAGAGCUCUUUCUUGAUUCUAUGGGUGGUGGUGCAUGGCCGUUCUUAGUUGGUGGAGUGAUUUGUCUGCUUAAUUGCGAUAACGAACGAGACCUCAGCCUACUAAAUAGUUACGCAAGCACUAUGCUUGU
rnacentral:rRNA from 1 species